GACGAACGCUGGCGGCGUGCCUAAUACAUGCAAGUCGAACGCUUUUUCUUUCACCGGAGCUUGCUCCACCGAAAGAAAAAGAGUGGCGAACGGGUGAGUAACACGUGGGUAACCUGCCCAUCAGAAGGGGAUAACACUUGGAAACAGGUGCUAAUACCGUAUAACACUAUUUUCCGCAUGGAAGAAAGUUGAAAGGCGCUUUUGCGUCACUGAUGGAUGGACCCGCGGUGCAUUAGCUAGUUGGUGAGGUAACGGCUCACCAAGGCAACGAUGCAUAGCCGACCUGAGAGGGUGAUCGGGCAAACUGGGGCUGAGACACGGCCCAGACUCCUACGGGAGGCAGCAGUAGGGAAUCUUCGGCAAUGGACGAAAGUCUGACCGAGCAACGCCGCGUGAGUGAAGAAGGUUUUCGGAUCGUAAAACUCUGUUGUUAGAGAAGAACAAGGAUGAGAGUAAAACGUUCAUCCCUUGACGGUAUCUAACCAGAAAGCCACGGCUAACUACGUGCCAGCAGCCGCCGUAA
rnacentral:rRNA from 1 species